GCACGAGCUCAAAUUUGAAAGCUAGCCUUCGGGUUCGCAUUGUAAUUUGUAGAGGAUGAUUUGGGGAAGCCGCCUGUCUAAGUUCCUUGGAACAGGACGUCAUAGAGGGUGAGAAUCCCGUAUGUGACAGGAAAUGGCACCCUAUGUAAAUCUCCUUCGACGAGUCGAGUUGGUUUGGGAAUGCAGCUCUAAAUGGGAGGUAAAUUUCUUCUAAAGCUAAAUAUUGGCGAGAGACCGAUAGCGCACAAGUAGAGUGAUCGAAAGAUGAAAAGCACUUUGGAAAGAGAGUUAAAAAGCACGUGAAAUUGUUGAAAGGGAAGCGCUUGCAAUCAGACUUGUUUAAACUGUUCGGCCGGUCUUCUGACCGGUUUACUCAGUUUGGACAGGCCAGCAUCAGUUUCGGCGGCCGGAUAAAGGCUCUGGGAAUGUGGCCUCCACUUCGGUGGAGGUGUUAUAGCCCAGGGUGUAAUACGGCCAGCCGGGACUGAGGUCCGCGCUUCGGCUAGGAUGCUGGCGUAAUGGUUGUAAGCGACCCGUCUU
rnacentral:rRNA from 1 species